rnacentral:rRNA from 1 species
CGGACCGGCGCACGGGUGAGUAACGCGUAUGCAACUUGCCUAUCAGGAGGGGAUAACCCGGCGAAAGUCGGACUAAUACCGCAUGAAGCAGGGGCCCCGCAUGGGGAUAUUUGCUAAAGGUUCAUCGCUGAUAGAUAGGCAUGCGUUCCAUUAGGCAGUUGGCGGGGUAACGGCCCACCAAACCGACGAUGGAUAGGGGUUCUGAGAGGAAGGUCCCCCACAUUGGUACUGAGACACGGACCAA